GGAUCUCACAGGAAGCCAAUGAAGGGAGGGAGAAAAAUACUGGGGUUACACAAUAAUUUGCUGGUGAACCCAGUAAGUUUAAAAGGAAAUGGAAGCCGCAGAAUUUCAGCUUGUAUGUUUCAGACCAGCAUUCCCGACUCUAGCUGCAUACCCCAAUGAGUGAGCCAGAUGAUGAACCAUCAUGAUUUCCCCACAACCAGAUGCUGGAUUGUCAGAGUUUUACUGUAUUUGUACACCUCAACAGUAAAUAUACACAGAGGGCAGCCAUUUGGACCAACUUCCUCAUCUCCUCCUUGCCGAAGGGAUGUCAAUUAAAUACAGUGGCACCCAAACCCACACAACCGCUCUGGGCCUACCAAAUAUGUUGCUGUAUUCUUGGAAACAAAAUACAAUUUAUUAAAAUAAGAAUAUUUGUUGGA